rnacentral:rRNA from 1 species
GCUGCAGUCGUGCGCGAAAGCCUUCGGGCGAGUAAAGCGGCGAAAGGGUGAGUAGCACGUAACCAACCUGCCCCUUAGACUGGAAUAACCACUGGAGACGGUGGAUAAUGCUGGAUACUCCAUUUGGAAGGCAUCUUCUGAUUGGCAAACGGUGGCGUAAGCUGCUGCUGAGGGAGGGGGUUGCGGGCUAUCAGCUAGUUGGCGAGGUAACGGCUCACCAAGGCGAUGACGGCUACCGGGUCUGAGAGGACGGUCCGGCACACUGGGACUGAGACACUGCCCAGACUCCUACGGGAGGCUGCAGUCGAGAAUCUUCCGCAAUGGGCGCAAGCCUGACGGAGCGACACCGCGUGCAGGAUGAAGGCCUUCGGGUUGUAAACUGCUGUCACGUUUUCGGAAUGGCGCAGCGUAAAUAGCGUUGCGCUUGACCAUGGCGAAAGGAAGCACCGGCUAACUCUGUGCCAGCAGCCGCGGUAAGACAGAGGGUGCAAACGUUGUUCGGAAUUACUGGGCAUAAAGAGCACGUAGGUGGUCUGCUAAGUCAUGUGUGAAAUCCCCCGGCUCAACCGGGGAAUUGCGCCUGAUACUGGUAGGCUUGAGGUCGGUAGGGGUGAGUGGAACUCCAGGUGGAGCGGUGAAAUGCGUAGAUAUCUGGAGGAACACCGGUGGCGAAGGCGGCUCACUGGACCGAAUCUGACACUGAGGUGCGAAAGCUAGGGUAGCAAACGGGAUUAGAUACCCCGGUAGUCCUAGCCGUAAACGAUGGGCACUGGGCAGGGGGAGUACCUAUGAUUCUCUCUGCCGUANCUAAUGUGUUAA